rnacentral:tRNA from 1 species
UUAGGGUAUGACGAAAAUGGUUAUCGUAUUUAUUUUGGGUAUAAAAAGUUGUGGGUUCGAGUCCCUCUACCCUAAA